GGCUAGAUAGCUCAGUUGGUAGAGCAGAGGAUUGAAAAUCCUCGUGUCGCGGUUCGAUUCCUGGGUCUAGCCA
rnacentral:tRNA from 1 species